rnacentral:tRNA from 1 species
UCGUUUAGGUGUUAUACAUAUAAGUUUUUCGUACUUGGGUAAAUCCUUUUGGGUUAAGCGAUG